UUAGGGAUUUUGGGCAAUGGGCGAAAGCCUGACCCAGCAACGCCGCGUGAGUGAAGAAGGCCUUCGGGUUGUAAAGCUCUUUUCUAGGGGAAGAUGAUGACGGUACCCUAGGAAUAAGCCCCGGCUAACUACGUGCCAGCAGCCGCGGUAAAACGUAGGGGGCAAGCGUUGUCCGGAAUUACUGGGCGUAAAGCGCGCGCAGGUGGGUAGGUAAGACAGACGUGAAAGGCUAGAGCUAAACUGUAGCAUUGCGUAUGAGACUGCCUAUCUUGAGUACAGCAGAGGAAAGUGGAAUUCCCGGUGUAGUGGUGAAAUGCGUAGAUAUCGGGAGGAAUACCAGUGGCGAAGGCGGCUUUCUGGGCUGUUACUGACGCUGAGGCGCGAAGGCGUGGGGAGCGAACCGA
rnacentral:rRNA from 1 species